UGAUUAUUAGUUGUAAGAGGUUGUAUUAAUUUAUGGUAUUGAAAAGAAUGAAUUAUGUAUCAGAUUCAUUCUUUGAUGAAUCUGAUACUGAAACAAUUUGAUCUGCUGAGUGAACAAAGAUUAAUCCAAGGUUUCCAACAUUCUAAAUGUCCCUAGGUAGAUUGAAUGUGUACUUGGUAACUUCAUGAACUCAAUAACUAUAUGCUGGGUUUCAAGUGUGGGAAUACGUACUCAACAAAAUUUGGCUGACUGGAAAGCAGGGA
rnacentral:misc_RNA from 1 species